AUUGAACGCUGGCGGCAUGCUUUACACAUGCAAGUCGAACGGCAGCGCGGGGGCAACCCUGGCGGCGAGUGGCGAACGGGUGAGUAAUAUAUCGGAACGUACCCAGAAGUGGGGAUAACGUAGCGAAAGUUACGCUAAUACCGCAUACGAUCUACGGAUGAAAGUGGGGGACCUUCGGGCCUCAUGCUUUUGGAGCGGCCGAUAUCUGAUUAGCUAGUUGGUGAGGUAAAGGCUCACCAAGGCGACGAUCAGUAGCUGGUCUGAGAGGACGACCAGCCACACUGGAACUGAGACACGGUCCAGACUCCUACGGGAGGCAGCAGUGGGGAAUUUGGACAAGUGGGGGCAACCCUGAUCCAGCAAUGCCGCGUGAGUG
rnacentral:rRNA from 1 species